rnacentral:rRNA from 1 species
AUUGAACGCUGGCGGCAUGCUUUACACAUGCAAGUCGAACGGCAGCGCGGGGCAACCUGGCGGCGAGUGGCGAACGGGUGAGUAAUAUAUCGGAACGUACCCAGAAGUGGGGGAUAACGUAGCGAAAGUUACGCUAAUACCGCAUACGAUCUACGGAUGAAAGUGGGGGACCUUCGGGCCUCAUGCUUGUGGAGCGGCCGAUAGCUGAUUAGCUAGUUGGUGGGGUAAAGGCCCACCAAGGCGACGAUCAGUAGCUGGCAUGAGAGGACGACCAGCCCCACUUGGACUGAGGCACGGCCCAGACUCCUACGGGAGGCAGCAGUGUGGAAUUUUGGACAAUGGGCGCAAGCCUGAUCCAGCAAUGCCGCGUGAGUGAAGAAGGCCUUCGGGUUGUAAAGCUCUUUUGUCAGGGAAGAAACGGGACUGGAUAAUACCUGGUCCUAAUGACGGUACCUGAAGAAUAAGCACCGGCUAACUACGUGCCAGCCGCCGCCGUAA